GGUCGAUAUUCAUUCGACAGUAUAUUACGUAUGGAACAUAAUAUUAAUAUGUUUUCGACGAACAUUGUCGAUAAAUAUAUUAUGUUAAGAAAGGAUUGGAAACGAAAUCUACACUACUAUAGAAAUACAAGCGAAUUCGAUUGAAUCGGCCAGUGGGUAUAUGGGUUUCGUGUUAAUUUAGAAACGAAAUAAUUUCAUCCAAUCGACCUCGCCCGACCAUAAACCCCGAGCCAGCGGCGAGCCCACUCGUUUCGUGUAAAUGUCAACCUUGUUUAUAGAUUGUGCACGUCACACACAACGCGCGCGCUGCGUCGUGUAUUUUCACCGAAAAGGCCAAAAUCCUAUCGGCAAAAUAUUAAGAACGCAAAAGAAAAAAAAAACUAAAACAAAGCUUUCCUCCUUAUGGAAAUUACCGCCUCCAAACACGCUAAUAUUCGUCAAACACGAAACGUAAAUUAAUGACGUCUAGUAAUAAACACACGGAGGAGAAUCUAGCAAUUACUGCCCUCGUAUUUUGUACAAGAGUUUGCAGUACCUGUGUGGUACCUAAACGAUUAAAUCACUUAAAAAAAGAUUAAAGUUUUUAAAUACUAUUUCGUUUUGUUUUUUUUUUUAAAAAAAAUAUUUAUUUUAAUUAAUGUUUUGAAUUUUGAUCGAAACGAGGAUUGUAUUGGGUUUUUAUUCCUAAGAAAACGCCUUUACGGUUAGUAAGAAUGCUCCGAUUUCUUCAUACGAUACUUUAUAGAUGCAAUAUUUCCACCCGGUGAUUCUUUAAUUGAAUCGUUUUUACUACUCGAUAAGAAUUUCAAUCCUAAAAUAUUAACUAGGGAUAUUUCUUUUUUCAAAGCAAAAAAUAAAAACCUUGUCGAAGCAAAAAUGUUUUUGUUAAUUAUUCAACAUUUUGACGGUAUUAGCUGAAACCAAGAACAGAUCUGGGAGAGGGGGAGCUUCUACAAAGAUCCAUCAAAAUGUUUUAAAAACAAAAUAUGUUUACCCAAGUUAAUUGAAAAAAAUAUUAGACAUUUUAGGGGAUUAUUUUCUAAAUUAGUGGUCCGAAUAUUCAGUAGUCAAUUCCGGCUUGUGUGUUUUUGUUUGUUUGCGUGCUGUAUCGACCAGGGAAUAAGUUAGGUUUGUAUUGUAAGUAUUACUGUAUUAAAAUACAACCGACACAAGGAUUGUGCAAUAUUUUGAGUUUGAAUUUCACAUACGAUUUCCGAUUAAAAGAAAAAAGAAAAUAAUAAUACUAAUAAAAAUAAAUUGAAUAACGGUUUAUAUUUUUUCGCUCUACUUGUGUAAUGUCGUAAUUUAUUAUCAUAAAUAUUCAAUUUCUUUCCGACCACCCGAACGCGUGGCAACAUAAAUAUUCUUUAUAGGUUACUUAUGUAUACAUAGUAUGAGAUUCAAUAUUACAUGAGCGUUCGAUAUUUCAUCGUAAUUAUUGUUGAAAACGUUGUAAUCGAAAAAGCUCGAAAUACGUGGGCGCACGUGACCUUAUCAAUAUUGUGAACGAUUCUUCGGCGCAUAUUAAUUUGUUUUUUUAUCAUUAUUGUUAUUGUUAUUGACGUUAUUAAGGGAUAUUCGUAUGGGAGCCGGAAACGUUUAUUUGACCGAAGUAUAAUACAUGUAUACGAUAUUCGCGAACCCAAAUGGCUAACUUAAUAAUAUUCCAAAUAAUGAAGUUAUUUUGGUUUUGUUUAAAAUAUUCAACGCGGGUGAACCGCAAUAUGCCAUUCUGUUUAUCGUGUACGGUACGUUGUAUAUGCAACAACAAAUCAUUAAAUUAUUUCGUAUACGUUUGAUUACCCGUUUAACACGCUAUCUAUGAUAUAGUUUAAUAGUAUAACAUAAUUUCUUGGUCGGUAUUAGUACGUUUUUUUUUUCCAAUGAUCAAUACAAAAACAAUUGUAUACUCGUGCGAAAACAUUGAAUGUCUUGCCAUUAUUCUUGUUGGUUUGUGAGUCGCAUAUUUCGUUUUAGAUUCUGAAAUUUCGUUUUAAGUUCAAUUUUUAACGAAAAUCGUGAAUGUCUUGACAUUUUUACGUUACAAGUUGAACUUAGUGGUAAACUCAAAAAAAAAAAAAAAAAGCUGAAUGUAAUUUAAUAAUUUUUGGAAAGCAUUUGCAAAAAUACUAUAAUUUUGUUCACAAUAAUAUAAUUCAUACCGACCGAACUUAACUCAGGAUCGUUUUUCGUUAGUAAUGAUUCAUCGAUGCCACCGUUAUAAAUUAAAUGCAUUAUAUGUCCUACCUUCUAGACUUUCCACCCACGACAGUGACACACCCUUCAGCAAUUUUGGCUUUUUUUUUUUUGGUUUUACUACUACUUCAAUUUAAAAUACUAGAAAAGGUACAGAAUUAUUUCUUAGAACAAUAAGUAUAAAAUUUACAUACUCGAAAAUUAAGAAAAAAAUACCUUUUCAAAAAUGUAAUUAUUUAUUGAAAAAAUUGAGUACAAUACGAUGAUUUAACUCAAAUUUAUACAAAUUUACUUACAUGCAUUUGUUAUUGUAAUUAUAAUUUUAUUUUUCAAUUAGAAAUAUCAUGUUAUAGGCAUGCCUUGUACGCGAUUCUGAAAUUGUUGACCGUAUCAUUGUAAUAUUAUUUGAAUACGUUUUUUAUAAAACAAAGUCAAUUAAAUAACACAAAUGGUCGUUCAAAAACUAAAUUUUUUGGUGACACGUUUGAUAUCAGUGUUAACGAAUAAAUUUUUAUACACACAUCUUUGCAUUAAAUAAUUUUUUUUUGCUUUUCUUUUAAACAUUUUACAUCGACUUAUGUUAUAAAACGGACACUUCCCGAUUUAUUAUUUACUGACUAUAAUAUGGUUACAGUGUAUUUUAUUUAUUACCAAAUCGACUGAUGGCUAUAUACAUGUGAAAUAUUAGGUUUUCGAAAAGUUCAAAAGAAACGUAUUACACGACAAAUGUGUUAUUAUUUAUACAUUUAUUUUAUCAUCCGUAUGCAACGAUUCAUAUUUUGAUGUUUAUACAUUUGUAUCGUUUUUCACAAAGUGUAAUAUUUUAUUAUUGAUGGGAUUGGUGACUGUGUACAUUUUAGUCGAUUUCGAUCCAAAAGCCAAACAGAACUCUAGAAAUUGUGUCUGUCGGAUUUAAAUUUUAAAAACGGAUUACGGUUCUUUGUGUUAUUUACCAGGAUAUUUUGGAAAUAUAAAUUUAAUUAUUUUACUGGAAAUCUUCAACAAAUUUGAAUAUUUUUGAAAAGUGUUUAAAAAUGUGCUUAUCGUGUUUUAUUUAUGAAAAAAAACAAAAUAAAUAAUAAUUUCAACAUAUCAUACUAUAAUAAAGAACCUAAAGAAUACGUGUUGAAAGUUUAAAUCCGUUAAACGCAAUUCCUAUACAAUUUUGUUCGGCUUUUUCGUUUAAAACGUCGUAUUUGUUCGUGAAAUCCUAACGUAGCCAUCAAAUAAGAAUCGGGGAGUGGGAUAUUUUUGAGGGCUGUACUUAUUUUGUUUUUUCUAAAAAGUUGUCACACAAAUAAUUAUUGCCAUUAAAAAAAAACAAAAACAAACACCACUUUAAUAUUAUAUUUUGAUAUGUUUUAUGUAUCAAUAUAUUAGAUUGUUUGUAAUUAGAUCAAAAUUGUAUUUUAAACAUUGCCUACUCAGAUAUUAUAAAAUUGAAUUAAAAUAAAUGUGUAAUUAAGUAC